CUUAAAGAGAAAUCAAUUACCGAGAGAGGUAAAGGAUCAACAUUUUAUUAGAUUGCCCAUUUUAUGGGUACACUCCUAGGGCUUUUUUGUUGAGUUCAAGGCAGUGCUGUUUUGUUGGAUGAGGCACGGAUGUACUACUACUUUGAGCACUUAGUAUUGGACAUUGGAAAACUACUUGAACAUGCUUUGCAUAUGUGAUUUUGGAUGGCCCAUGGCCCACUGUGAUGUAAAUAUCGAGCCACCUUUCAUACUCCUGCUGAUCCUGAAUAUCAUGAGUGAAUUAAUUGAAGUUGAUUAACAUUCUCUGCAUGAGAAAGUAACAAGGCAUAGUCUCUAUAAGAUGAAUGAAAACUAAAGUCAUAUAUUUUACACACGUGUGCUUUCUUUGUUCCAUUUUAGAGGUUCAUCGUGCCAAAAAUGAAAAAAUAAAAAAUAAAAAAUGCUUCUGUGGUUUUAUAAAUGUAGAGCUUCUUGUUUGCUUUUAUGGUUAGAAGGGAUUAAGGAGUAACUGCUUCUUCACUAGUGGAGCUCAGUUCUUACCAUUGCAUUUAACUUGGUGUAAGUGAUUCUUGCCCUCUAACAACAGAUGUGUUAUGAUAUAUAUAUAUAUACAUAUGUCCUUUAUUGUAAUUUUACUUAGUCUCUAGGGUUUAGUUUAUUCUCUAUAUAAAUAUGUAACAUUGCUUUGACUCAAUCAGAAUAAGACAUAUACGUUUCUGAAUUCUAAAUUACAUGGUAUCAGAGCCCUCCAUUAGGUUUGGAGUUUGGGUUACCUUCCGGUGACCAUUUGUCAACCUCCAUUAGGUUUGGAGUUUGGGUUACCUUCCGGUGACCAUUUGUCGACACUGCCCAUACCAUAAGAAGCACCACCUCCGUCCGCCCAAGUCUGUCUUCGCCGAUCGCCGGAAAACACCGCGCGUGACCUUCACGCGCCGCCGGAAUCAUCGUCACCUUCACCCACGCGCCGGCGCGUGAGAGCGCGUGAGAAGUCCGAUUUGUCUUCUGUCUUCUGGGCUUGUCUCGAACCAUUGUUUCCUGCCAGUCUGUACCAUUGGGUCUAUCAAAUAACAUUCGGGUUUGACGAAAACCGAAGGUUACACGAUUGGUUUUGUGUCUUUUUCCAAUUUUGCAGCUGUUUGGAUUGAUUUUCUCUUUGUUCGAGUGGACUACAAUCAACGUGUGACUUCAAUAUGGCCGACAUAAAAAAUUUGGUAGUCUCCAACGUUAUUCCCUUGGCCUCUAAGAUCACAGAACAUAAGUUAAAUGGAUCCAAUUAUUACGAUUGGCGUCGGACAAUUUUAUUUUAUUUGAGAAGUACUGAUAUGGAUGAUCAUAUGACUGAAGAUCCCCCAAAAGAUGCAAAGCAGAAGAAGGAUUGGCUUCGUGAUGAUGCCCGUUUAUAUCUUCAGAUCAAGAAUUCAAUUGAGAGUGACUCGACCAGACAUUGCAUAUUCUGUAAGUGUUGUAAGUCAAUUCAUGUCUUCCCCUACAGUGGAUCAUUGGGCUGCAGUAGAGCAGAUUUUGUGUUAUCUAAAAGCUGCUCCUGGACGUGGGAUCCUAUACAAAGAUCAUGGACAUACGAGAGUUGAAUGUUUUUCUGAUGCUGAUUGGGCGGGGUCUCGUGAGGAUAGGAGAUCGACUUCUGGAUAUUGUGUCUUUGUAGGUGGAAACUUAGUUUCAUGGAAGAGUAAGAAACAAAAUGUUGUUUCUCGUUCGAGUGCUGAGUCAGAAUAUAGAGCUAUGGCACAAUCUGUGUGUGAAAUAGUAUGGAUUCACCAACUAUUAUCUGAGAUAGGCUUCAGUAUUACCGUGCCGGCUAAAUUAUGGUGUGAUAAUCAAGCUGCACUUCAUAUCGCAUCUAAUCCAGUAUUUCAUGAAAGAACUAAACAUAUUGAGGUGGAUUGUCACUUCAUUCGUGAGAAAAUCCAAGAUGGGUUGGUGUCCACAGGAUAUGUGAAGACCGGAGAACAAUUGGGAGAUAUUCUAACUAAAGCUUUAAAUGGAACAAGGAUAAGCUAUCUGUGCAACAAGCUGGGCAUGAUCGACAUAUUUGCUCCAGCUUGAGGGGGAGUGUUAUGAUAUAUAUAUAUAUACAUAUGUCCUUUAUUGUAAUUUUACUUAGUCUCUAGGGUUUAGUUUAUUCUCUAUAUAAAUAUGUAACAUUGCUUUGACUCAAUCAGAAUAAGACAUAUACGUUUCUGAAUUCUAAAUUACAAGAUGGAACGAUAUCUUAGCUUCGGAAA
rnacentral:lncRNA from 1 species